rnacentral:lncRNA from 1 species
AGCGCCCUUUCUCCCCGCCGCAUUCCCGGUGUCGACUUACUAGCUGCAAGCCUCUGCCUGCCUUCCUGCGCGCCGUUCCCCGCUAGUCGCUGCUGCUGGCGCGCACUCGCCGGGUUUUUCCUCCCACGGCCUCGAGAUGGUGGUGAAUGUGGCACGGAGGAGCCGGGCCUUCCAACCCGGUGGGCCCGAGCUCCGAAAGGCCCCCUCGGCAGUGAGAGGGGCGGGAGCCCGCGGGGGCCGCGCCCUUCUCUCGCUUCGGACUGCGCAACGCUGCGCUCUGGGCUGACAGGCGGAUAAAACGGUCCCAUCAAGACUGAGAAAAAGCACACCAGCUAUUGGCACAGCGUGGGCAGUGGGGCCUACAGGAUGACUGACUUAGUCUACAGAGAUCCCGGCGUACUUAAGCAGGUAGUAAUGAUGGACAGAUGAAGACUCUUAAGAUGACAGAAGGUGAUUUUUCUGGUGAUCGAGGACUUCCGGGGUAAUGACAGUGAUGAAAUGCAGGGGACCUGGUUGCCCCCAAGUUUCCUGGCAGUGUGUGAUACUGAGGAGGUGAGCUUGUUUCUGGAGCUGUGCUUUAAGGUAAAGUUGAUCAGCUUAAUCCUCCUGAUCCCUUUCCCAUCGGAUCUGAACACUGGUCUUGGUGGUCGUAAAAGGAGGAAAAGUAAUAGUGAAGCUGGCCUAAAUGUUGUAAUCUGGUAUAUGGCAUGUGGGCUAGUUUCAGACAGGUUUCAGAGAUGGUUGGAUCUCUGAAAUUGUAAAAUGAAGUAUAAUCUUAGGCUAAGGGAAGGAUGCGUGUGAAGCUCUGGAGGUUGGUAUAGUAAUAGCUGACCUAUUACUGCAUUUGGGAGGGAUCUGUCAUAGCUUCCUUGCCUCUUAAUUAAGGGUGGUGUUUUUUUCUUUUAGAUUCAUGUUACAUGUAAAGCUGUCCUCAUUUGUGACUAUGGACCUAUGGAGUUGGGACAAUCUCUAUGGGAAGCAGAAGGCAAGGACCCCGGUCAUUUUAGGUAGAAACAACAGCAUGCUAAUGCAAAAAAUUAUGCAGUGUGCUACUGAACUUCAGAGGUGAUCAAUAAAAGAAGAAUAAAAAGACUAAUAAAAGUA